AUGGCGACCGGCGCACGGGUGAGUAACACGUAUCCAACCUGCCGAUAACUCGGGGAUAGCCUUUCGAAAGAAAGAUUAAUACCCGAUGGUAUAAUCAGACUGCAUGGUUUGAUUAUUAAAGAAUUUCGGUUAUCGAUGGGGAUGCGUUCCAUUAGGCAGUUGGUGAGGUAACGGCUCACCAAACCUUCGAUGGAUAGGGGUUCUGAGAGGAAGGUCCCCCACAUUGGAACUGAGACACGGUCCAA
rnacentral:rRNA from 1 species